AACGAACGCUGGCGGCAGGCUUAACACAUGCAAGUCGAGCGCCCCGCAAGGGGAGCGGCAGACGGGUGAGUAACGCGUGGGAACGUACCCUUUGCUACGGAAUAGCUCCGGGAAACUGGAAUUAAUACCGUAUGUGCCCUACGGGGGAAAGAUUUAUCGGCAAAGGAUCGGCCCGCGUUGGAUUAGCUAGUUGGUGGGGUAAUGGCCUACCAAGGCGACGAUCCAUAGCUGGUCUGAGAGGAUGAUCAGCCACAUUGGGACUGAGACACGGCCCAAACUCCUAGGGGAGGCAGCAGUGGGGAAUAUUGGACAAUGGGCGCAAGCCUGAUCCAGCCAUGUCGCGUGAGUGAUGAAGGCCUUAGGGUUGUAAAGCUCUUUCACCGGAGAAGAUAAUGACGGUAUCCGGAGAAGAAGCCCCGGCUAACUUCGUGCCAGCCGCCGCGGUAAGAC
rnacentral:rRNA from 1 species